UACGUAGGGGGCAAGCGCUGUCCGGAAUCAUUGGGCGUAAAGCGCGCGUAGGCGGCCCGGUAAGUCCGUUGUAAAAGUCAAAGGCUCAACCUUUGAAAGCCGAUGGAUACUGCCGGGCUAGAGUCCGGAAGAGGCGAGUGGAAUUCCUGGUGUAGCGGUGGAAUGCGCAGAUAUCAGGAGGAACACCAACAGCGAAGGCAGCUCGCUGGGACGGUAUUGACGCUGAGGCGCGAAAGCGUGGGGAGCAAACAGG
rnacentral:rRNA from 1 species